AAAACCCUGCGGUGUACGUAGUUAUUUUGAAGUUUUGAACCAACAGUUAUUAAAGGGGAGCUUGGCUCUGUCAUUGGCUUGCAGGACUCUUCGUUAGAAGAGGAAGCAAAAAAAUGACAGGAAGGCACCCGCCUGUGGAGAGCAGGUUCAAGAAACUUUGUGGUAAAUUACGGCACAAGCGGGGGGCUU
rnacentral:other from 2 species